GUUCUUACCUGGCAGGAGAGAUACCAUGAUGGAGAAGGUGGUCUUUCUAGGGCAAGGCUCAUACUUUGCACUUCAGGUAUGCGGGCCUCUUCCAUUUUCUUUCCAGGAAUGAUAGUGGCAAGCUGAGUACAUGAUUUCUACUGCAAAAUAGAAGCAAUUUUAAAAUGCUUUAAC
rnacentral:snRNA from 1 species